rnacentral:rRNA from 1 species
AGAUUGAACGCUGGCGGUAGGCCUAACACAUGCAAGUCGAACGGCAGCACAGUGGUAGCAAUACCAUGGGUGGCGAGUGGCGGACGGGUGAGGAAUACAUCGGAAUCUACCUUUUCGUGGGGGAUAACGUAGGGAAACUUACGCUAAUACCGCAUACGCCCUUUGGGGGAAAGCCGGGGAUCGCAAGACCUGGCGCGGAUAGAUGAGCCGAUGUCGGAUUAGCUAGUUGGUGAGGUAAUGGCUCACCAAGGCGACGAUCCGUAGCCUGGUCUGAGAGGAUG